GACGAACGCUGGCGGCGUGCUUAACACAUGCCAGUCGAACGGAAAGGCCCUGCUUUUGUGGGGUGCUCGAGUGGCGAACGGGUGAGUAACACGUGAGUAACCUGCCCUUGACUUUGGGAUAACUUCAGGAAACUGGGGCUAUUACCGGAUAGGAGCUCCUGCUGCACGGUGGGGGUUGGAAAGAUACGGCGGUUGUGGAUGGUCUCGCGGCUUAUCAGCUUGUUGGUGGGGUAGUGGCGUACCAAGGCUUUGACGGGUAGCCGGCCUGAGAGGGUGACCGGCCACAUUGGGACUGAGAUACGGCCCAGACUCCUACGGGAGGCAGCAGUGGGGAAUAUUGCACAAUGGGCGGAAGCCUGAUGCAGCAACGCCGCGUGCGGGAUGACGGCCUUCGGGGUGUAAACCGCUUUCGCCUGUGACGAAGCGUGAGUGACGGUAAUGAGUAAAGAAGCACCGGCUAACUACGUG
rnacentral:rRNA from 1 species